rnacentral:rRNA from 1 species
AACACAUGCAAGUCGAGCGGUAACAGGGGAGCUUGCUCUGGGUGACGAGCGGCGGACGGGUGAGUAAUGUCUGGGAAACUGCCUGAUGGAGGGGGAUAACUACUGGAAACGGUAGCUAAUACCGCAUAACGUCGCAAGACCAAAGAGGGGGACCUUCGGGCCUCUUGCCAUCAGAUGUGCCCAGAUGGGAUUAGCUAGUAGGUGGGGUAAUGGCUCACCUAGGCGACGAUCCCUAGCUGGUCUGAGAGGAUGACCAGCCACACUGGAACUGAGACACGGUCCAGACUCCUACGGGAGGCAGCAGUGGGGAAUAUUGCACAAUGGGCGCAAGCCUGAUGCAGCCAUGCCGCGUGUGUGAAGAAGGCCUUCGGGUUGUAAAGCACUUUCAGCGAGGAGGAAGGUGGUGAGCUUAAUACGCUCAUCAAUUGACGUUACUCGCAGAAGAAGCACCGGCUAACUCCGUGCCAGCAGCCGCGGUAAUACGGAGGGUGCAAGCGUUAAUCGGAAUUACUGGGCGUAAAGCGCAUGCAGGUGGUUUGUUAAGUCAGAUGUGAAAGCCCGGGGCUCAACCUCGGAAUAGCAUUU